rnacentral:rRNA from 1 species
UGGGGAAUAUUGCACAAUGGGCGAAAGCCUGAUGCAGCAACGCCGCGUGAGUGAUGAAGGCCUUCGGGUUGUAAAGCUCUGUCUUUUGGGACGAUAAUGACGGUACCAAAGGAGGAAGCCAACGGCUAACUACGUGCCAGCAGCCGCGGUAAUACGUAGGUGGCAAGCGUUGUCCGGAUUUACUGGGCGUAAAGGAUGCGUAGGCGGAUUUUUAAGUGAGAUGUGAAAUACCCGGGCUAACUUGGGUGCUGCAUUUCAAACUGGGAAUCUAGAGUGCGGGAGAGGAGAAUGGAAUUCCGUAGUGUAGCGGUGAAAUGCGUAGAGAUUAGGAAGAACACCAGUGGCGAAGGCGAUUCUCUGGACCGUAACUGACGCUGAGGCAUGAAAGCGUGGGUAGCAAACAGGAUUAGAUACCCUGGUAGUCCACGCCGUAAACGAUGAGUACUAGGUGUAGGAGGUAUCGACCCCUUCUGUGCCGCAGUUAACACAAUAAGUACUCCGCCUGGGAAGU